rnacentral:tRNA from 1 species
GGCGCCGUAGCCAAGCGGUAAGGCAGAGGUCUGCAAAACCUCCAUCGCCGGUUCGAGUCCGGCCGGCGCCUCCA